UACGGGGGGAGCAAGCGUUGUUCGGAUUUACUGGGCGUAAAGGGCGCGUAGGCGGUCAGCACAAGUCAGUUGUGAAAUCUCCGAGCUUAACUCGGAAAGGUCAACUGAUACUGUGCGACUAGAGUGCGGAAGGGGCAACUGGAAUUCUUGGUGUAGCGGUGAAAUGCGUAGAUAUCAAGAGGAACACCGGUGGCGAAGGCGGUUCUCUGGGCCUUACCUGACGCUGAGGAGCGAAAGCGUGGGGAGCGAACAGG
rnacentral:rRNA from 1 species